GCGGGCGUAGUUCAAUGGUAGAACAGGAGCUUCCCAAGCUUCUAACGUGGGUUCGAUUCCCAUCGCCCGCUCCA
rnacentral:tRNA from 1 species